rnacentral:rRNA from 1 species
CCUACGUGGUGCUGCAGUGGGGAAUAUUGCGCCAUGGGCGAAAGCCUGACGCAGCGACGCCGCGUGAGGGAUGAAGGUCUUCGGAUCGUAAACCUCUGUCAGCAGGGAAGAACGGUCACUGUGCUAAUCAGCAGUGAAUUGACGGUACCUGCAAAGGAAGCACCGGCUAACUCCGUGCCAGCAGCCGCGGUAAUACGGAGGGUGCGAGCGUUAAUCGGAAUUACUGGGCGUAAAGCGCUCGUAGGCGGUAUGUCAAGUCAAGGGUGAAAUCCCCGCGCUCAACGUGGGAACUGCCUUUGAAACUGGCAAACUGGAGUGUGUGAGAGGAUAGUGGAAGUCCAGGUGUAGGAGUGAAAUCCGUAGAUAUCUGGAGGAACAUCAGUGGCGAAGGCGACUAUCUGGCACAUAACUGACGCUGAGGAGCGAAAGCGUGGGUAGCAAACAGGAUUAGAUACCCCUGUAGUC